GACAGAGGGGGCAAACGUUGUUCGGAAUUACUGGGCGUAAAGCGUGUGUAGGCGGCCACGUAAGUCGGAUGUGAAAGCCCCGGGCUCAACCCGGGAAGUGCACUCGAUACUGCGUGGCUUGAGUACUGGAGAGGUUGGUGGAAUUCUCGGUGUAGAGGUGAAAUUCGUAGAUAUCGAGAGGAACACCGGUGGCGAAGGCGGCCACCUGGACAGAUACUGACGCUGAGACACGAAAGCGUGGGUAGCAAACAGG
rnacentral:rRNA from 1 species